GUCGCUCCUCCACAUUGGGCUGCCCCACCCAGGCACCUCCGCCCCAGGCUUCUCCCCACAUUUGCCACUGGGAUGUCACAGCCUGGGAUUUCUGUAGAGACCAGAGGAGGUGGUGAAGACCAAUAGGACUCCACUAGAGGGCUGUAGCCCAGUGGGAUUCAAAAGAGCCUCUGUGGCCCCUGGGCCCAGACUGCAGAGAACAUUUGGUUGUAGGUGGUCAUGUGCAGGUCUGUCCCACUGUUGGGCAGAAGGGAAAUCACUACCAGCCUCAGAAUGAAAUGCAAAGGAGAGGGCUCUUCACCUGACAGCUGCGUGUGUGAGCCUCACUCUGACCCAAUGACCCAUUACCAAUGCUGUCACCCAUUACCAACACUGCAGAGCCCUAUGUCGGCAUAGCAGGCCAGCUGUUGAGGCUUAAUUGUGCAACAACUAAGUGGACAUUUUUAAUUUGCACUUUUCAUUUCCUCAAGAAGCACCCAAGCCUUUGUAAGGUUCUGAUUAACGUGCUCAGCAUUUUAGAAGCAUGAGGCUUGUUUUUAUUUUGGCUCAUGUCAAAACAUAACAUUAUUUCAUCAUUGCAGUUACAAUUUUUAGAUGCAUAAAGUAUUACAAUGGGGAAAACUGAGAUUUCCAAAUAGAAGACUCUGAAGUUGAUUCCCCUGCAUGUGGUGACCCCGUCUUUUUAGGCCUGCGUAUCUCAUCCCUGGUUUAAAUCUGAUGAAAAGUUCAUCCUUGGGGCUGAGGUUGUGGCUCAGUGGUAGAGCGCUUGCCUAGCAUGUGUGAGGCCCCAGGUUCGAUCCUCAGCACCAUGUAAAAAUAAAUAAAUAAAAUAAAGGUUAAAAAAAAAA
rnacentral:lncRNA from 1 species